UCCCUGGUGGUCCAGUGAUUAAGACUCUGUGCUGCCAAUACAGGGAGUAUGGGUUCGACCCCUCUUUGGGGAA
rnacentral:tRNA from 1 species